rnacentral:rRNA from 1 species
GACGAACGCUGGCGGCGUGCUUAACACAUGCAAGUCGAACGGCAACGCCCUGCUUUUUUGGUGUGCUCGAGUGGCGAACGGGUGAGUAACACGUGAGUAACCUGCCCUUGACUUUGGGAUAACUUCACGAAACUGGGGCUACUACCGUAUAGCAUCUCCUGUUCCAUGGUGGGCGUUGGAACGUUUCGGCGGUUGGGGAUGGACUCGCGGCUUAUCAGCUUGCUGGUGGGGUAGUGGCUUACCAAGGCUUUGACGGGUAGCCGGCCUGAGAGGGUGACCGGCCACAUUGGGACUGAGAUACGGGCCAGACUCCUAAGGGAGGCAGAAGUGGGGAAUAUUGAACAAUGGGCGGAAGCCUGAUGCAGAAACGCCGCGUGCGGGAUGACGGCCUUCGGGUUGUAAACCGCUUUCGCCUGUGACGAAGCGUGAGUGACGGUAAUGGGUAAAGAAGAACCGGCUAACUACGUG